rnacentral:rRNA from 1 species
GGAAAGCGGUCGCGGUAUGGGAUGGGGUCGCGUCCUAUCAGCUUGACGGCGGGGUAACGGCCCACCGUGGCUUCGACGGGUAGCCGGCCUGAGAGGGCGACCGGCCACAUUGGGACUGAGAUACGGCCCAGACUCCUACGGGAGGCAGCAGUGGGGAAUAUUGCACAAUGGGCGCAAGCCUGAUGCAGCGACGCCGCGUGAGGGAUGGAGGCCUUCGGGUUGUAAACCUCUUUUAUCGGGGAGCAAGCGAGAGUGAGUUUACCCGUUGAAUAAGCACCGGCUAACUACGUGCCAGCAGCCGCGGUAAUACGUAGGGUGCAAGCGUUAUCCGGAAUUAUUGGGCGUAAAGGGCUCGUAGGCGGUUCGUCGCGUCCGGUGUGAAAGUCCAUCGCUUAACGGUGGAUCCGCGCCGGGUACGGGCGGG